rnacentral:rRNA from 1 species
AUGAAACACUCCUACGGGAGGCAGCAGUGGGGAAUAUUGCACAAUGGGCGAAAGCCUGAUGCAGCAACGCCGCGUGAACGAUGAAGGUCUUCGGAUCGUAAAGUUCUGUUGCAGGGGAAGAUAAUGACGGUACCCUGUGAGGAAGCCCCGGCUAACUACGUGCCAGCAGCCGCGGUAAUACGUAGGGGGCUAGCGUUAUCCGGAUUUACUGGGCGUAAAGGGUGCGUAGGUGGUCCUUCAAGUCGGUGGUUAAAGGCUACGGCUCAACCGUAGUAAGCCGCCGAAACUGGAGGACUUGAGUGCAGGAGAGGAAAGUGGAAUUCCCAGUGUAGCGGUGAAAUGCGUAGAUAUUGGGAGGAACACCAGUAGCGAAGGCGGCUUUCUGGACUGCAACUGACACUGAGGCACGAAAGCGUGGGUAGCAAACAGGAUUAGAAACCCUAGUAGUCCGAAGUUC